rnacentral:rRNA from 1 species
AGCCUUUAGACUUUAUUUUAGGUUAUUUCUGCCCAGUGCUUAUUAGUAAAAGGCCGCAGUACCUUGACUGUGCUAAGGUAGCGAAAUAAGUAGGCUUUUAAUUGGAGUCCAGUAUGAAUGGAAGGAUGGGAAUUAACUGUCUCUUAAAAUUUUAGAACUUUUUUAAUAAGUGAAAAUACUUAUGUGUAGAUAAAAGACGAUAAGACCCUGGGAACUUAUGAGUAUAGAAACUCUUUUGUUGGGGCAACAAUGGAACAACAAACUUCCAUAAAUAAAAACUAUUUACCAAGAUUUUCUAAUAGGGAAAGUUACCCCAGGGAUAACAGCAUAAUUUAUAAAAGCUUGUGACCUCGAUGUUGGACUAGGAAAAUUAUGAUAAGCCAUCAUAAGUUUAUGUUCUGUUCGAACUUAUUCUCCUACAU